CCUACUGAUGAAGUGUUGUUGCAUAGUAAUUCUGCUCAGUACGAGAGGAACCGCAGAUUCAGACAAUUGGCAUUUGCACUUGGCUGAAAAGCCAAUGGUGCGAAGCUACCAUCUGUUGGAUUAUGACUGAACGCCUCUAAGUCAGAAUCCUUGCUAGAACGCAACGAUAAUUACCUCCGGAGAAUCUUAGGCGAACAAGGAUAGAGAACGGGCUUGCCCGCUCUCCUGCGUCCCAAUGUGCCAAGAGGGAAAACAACCCUCAAGGCACUAAAGUAUAUCAAAGUUUAAAAUUUCUGGAGAUAAAUCCUUUGCAGACGACUUAAAUAAAGAACGGGGUAUUGUACGUUGUAGAGUAGCCUUGUUGCUACGAUCUUCUGAGAUCAAGCCUUUGUUCUACGAUUUGU
rnacentral:ncRNA from 1 species